GAACGGUCGGCAGGCGAUCCGCGUCGGUCGCGCGAGGUGGUAUGGUUCCCCAGAGGCCGGUUCUUGUGCUGCCUACCCCUUCAGGGGAAGCGGGCCACUUGAUGUAAGCCUCCAUCCGGCGCCCUCCAACGGGCGCAGGAGGACAACAGAGCACACCCCGCGUACCACCGAGCCUUCGUCGGUCGCGUGGCGCGCGGGGACGUGCGAUGCUCUCGGACCCAGCGGACGCCGUGGGCGAGGACUCACGUCCCAGUCCCGAUAGAAGCUUCGGUAUAAUGCAUGACGGCCGCUCCCGCCCCCCGACCGCCCCGGCGGCGCGUGGGCGAGGCGCGGCGUCGCGGAGGAAUGCUACCUGGUUGAUCCUGC
rnacentral:misc_RNA from 3 species